rnacentral:rRNA from 1 species
AUUGAACGCUGGCGGCAGGCCUAACACAUGCAAGUCGAGCGAGCGGCGGACGGGUGAGUAAUGUAUGGGGACUGCCCGAUAGAGGGGGAUAACUACUGGAAACGGUGGCUAAUACCGCAUACUAUCGGAUAACCCAUAUUGGAUUAGCUAGUUGGUGGGGUAAAGGCCCACCAAGGCGACGAUCCGUAGCUGGUCUGAGAGGAUGAUCAGCCACACUGGAACUGAGACACGGCCCAGACUCCUACGGAGGCAGCAGUGGGGAAUAUUGGACAAUGGGCGAAAGCCUGAUGCAGCCAUGCCGCGUGUGUGAAGAAGGCCUUAGGGUUGUAAAGUACUUUCAGCGGGGAGGCGUUACCAACAGAAGAAGCACCGGCUAACUCCGUGCCAGCCGCCGCGGUAAUAC